CCUGCACAUGGCCCCCAACAAUUUCCCACCUGGGCCCCGACAAUACCGGGAGAAGCGCCGCUACCUCUCUCGCUUGUUCCUCUCCGCUCGUUCCCCAUUUCUCCACCGUGAUUUCUCCUGGGUUUCGUCGGUGCAGAGUUCGUCGGCCGUUGAGCGCGCUAACCUCGUAGGCGGAGGGCGAGCGCGAGCAAGAGGGCGACUAGCUCGUCGGCAAACGGAGCCGCUCGGUAGUGCGGCGAGAUCCGAGUCGUCGAGCGAGCUGCGCGGCCGCGGCAACGGGAGCGAGGCAAGCGGAAUUGCGGCGAGAUCUGAGCGGGCCAGCGGGGAGCUUGUCAUGCGUGAGGGCGGCGAGUUAGUCGGGGGAGGGCGAGCAUUGGGAGCCAGGUCAGGGUGCUCGGGAGACGAGGAUGCGUGACGGAGAUGCCUAGGUCGAGUACCUGAGUGAUGGUAUGGAUGCUUGCUAUAGUUUUUUUUGGAGGUGGAAUAUGUCCUGGGAGUGGUGUGAUUAGAGACCUUAGCUUCACCGUCGCCGUGCGGGUGGAGAUCUUGGCACCGUUGCUCCAGGACAUUCCCCUUGACACGCACUCGCCGGUGGUUCGGUCCAGCGCGACCCUGCCCCGCAGUCAUCUGGGACAAGCAUGAGGAGCUGCCGCUGGUCUGGUUCUCCAGAUGCGCCGCGACCAACUGUUGUUGCUGCUGACCGACCCCUCGCCGUCGUGAGCUGGUGAGACAUCACUCCAUUUCUACUUUGCUAGUUUUGCACUCCUCUGUUAUGCGCGUGCGACCUCACCUGCUCUUCCCUUGUUGAUGCUUGCGUGUGAGGGUACAUGCUGCCCAAGGCCGCGGCGAUGGCAAAGAUGGUCCAGGAGGGCGCCCACUCUGAUUGCUUGCUCAACUUCGACGACGACGACCUGCAGGUUUUUCACUCAUAUCUACUUACAAUCGAUAUGGGCUAGUGCAACCUGCAUUUACCAGAGCGCGAAGAAGGCGGAGGGAGCCACCGUGCACCCCAACUACAAGUCAGUCAGCGGAUAGAACAGUUGGUCUGUAGAUUUGCCGACCAACUCUGAUGUGACAGCUUGAGUGCAAUACUGCGGUUCCAUGUCAUCGACAUCAUCAUCUUCAACAUUCGGUUCGCGACGGUGGUAGCAUUGUCAUGGAAGGAAAGUUGUGUCCAUGCCUCCCCAACAUCCACUAGACACCACUAAUGUACAAAGCAAACAGAAACUAUGGGAUACCCUAUCUGCAUCUACUAGUGUACUCGGCUCAAGAAAAGAUGCAUCGUUUUUUUGGUAUUUUGUUACUAGUGUACUGUUGAGUGUUGAUGCAUAGACAACUGGUACUCCCUCCAGGAUUCUCUGUGAAACCCACUUUUAUGUCUGAAUAAACUGCACUAUAUUUGUA